rnacentral:lncRNA from 1 species
UUUUUAAUGGAUGGUUUUUUUUAAGAUAAGUGGAUUUGAAAUUGAGCCCUUUGGUGCUUCUUUCAUUUUUCGCCCUUAGCUUCUUGAGCUCCUGGCAAAUCUUUUUGUUUUUAAUUAUAUAAAGUGAAGGCAUAUGUAAUCUUGUGGGUUCAAACUCAUUUCAUAUUUCUCUGGAAAUUUAAUUUUGGUAUAAAUGAUGGCAAAAGCUCAUAUAGGAUCUACUUAAUCAAACAACAUAAGUCCGAUCUAAU